CUAUUUUACACAAGGUUUUGAUGAGUGUUU
rnacentral:piRNA from 1 species